rnacentral:rRNA from 1 species
GAUGAACGCUGGCGGCGUGCCUAAUACAUGCAAGUCGAACGCACAGCGAAAGGUGCUUGCACCUUUCAAGUGAGUGGCGAACGGGUGAGUAACACGUGGAUAACCUACCUCAAGGUUGGGGAUAACAUUUGGAAACAGAUGCUAAUACCGAAUAAAACUUCGUAUCGCAUGAUACAAGGUUAAAGGCGCUACGGCGUCACCUAGAGAUGGAUCCGCGGUGCAUUAGUUAGUUGGUGGGUAAAGCCUACAAGACAAUGAUGCAUAGCCGAGUUGAGAGACUGA